rnacentral:ncRNA from 1 species
AUUCCUGUACCACCUCCUCACCGUUUGAGCAAUGGGGGGACGCAGGAGGAUAGGGUCAGCGCGCGACUGGUUGUGCGCGUCCAAGCAGUUAGGCGCCUCAAGUAGGCAAAUCCGCUUGAGUAGGCUGAGCUGUGAUGGCGAGGGAAAUAAAGUACCGAAGUGCCUGAUUCCACACUGCCAAGAAAAGCCUCUAGCGAGGUGAGAGGUGCCCGUACCGCAAACCGACACAGGUAGGCGAGGAGAGAAUCCUAAGGUGCGCGGGAGAACUCUCGUUAAGGAACUCGGCAAAAUGACCCCGUAACUUCGGGAGAAGGGGUGCUCCCUCGGGUGAAUAGCCCAGGGGAGCCGCAGUGAAAAGGCCCAAGCGACUGUUUAUCAAAAACACAGGUCUCUGCGAAGCCGCAAGGCGAAGUAUAGGGGCUGACACCUGCCCGGUGCUGGAAGGUUAAGGGGAGCGCUUAGCGCAAGCGAAGGUGCGAACCGAAGCCCCAGUAAACGGCGGCCGUAACUAUAACGGUCCUAAGGUAGCGAAAUUCCUUGUCGGGUAAGUUCCGACCCGCACGAAAGGUGUAACGACUUGGGCACUGUCUCAACGAGAGACCCGGUGAAAUCAUAGUACCUGUGAAGAUGCAGGUUACCCGCGACAGGACGGAAAGACCCCGUGGAGCUUUACUGCAGCCUGAUAUUGAAUGUUGGUGCGACAUGUACAGCAUAGGUGGGAGACUGAGAAGCCUGGACGCCAGUCUAGGUGGAGUCGCCGUUGGGAUACCACCCUUGUCGUACUGAGAUUCUAACCCGCACCCCUGAUCGGGGUGGGAGACAGUGUCAGGUGGGCAGUUUGACUGGGGCGGUCGCCUCCCAAAGCGUAACGGAGGCGCCCAAAGGUUCCCUCAGAAUGGUUGGAAAUCAUUCGUAGAGUGUAAAGGCAGAAGGGAGCUUGACUGCGAGACCUACAAGUCGAGCAGGGACGAAAGUCGGGCUUAGUGAUCCGGUGGUUCCGAAUGGAAGGGCCAUCGCUCAACGGAUAAAAGCUACCCCGGGGAUAACAGGCUUAUCUCCCCCAAGAGUCCACAUCGACGGGGAGGUUUGGCACCUCGAUGUCGGCUCAUCGCAUCCUGGGGCUGUAGUCGGUCCCAAGGGGUUGGCUGUUCGCCCAUUAAAGCGGUACGCGAGCUGGGUUCAGAACGUCGUGAGACAGUUCGGUCCCUAUCCGUCGCGGGCGUAGGAAAUUGAGAGGAGCUGUCCUUAGUACGAGAGGACCGGGAUGGACGCACCGCUGGUGUACCAGUGUCCCGCC